UAGCCAUUAUAUGCCACUUAUGCAGAUUUGUAGCUACAGUACAAAAACCUUCCAUUGGACCUCCCUAAUUUCACUACAGAUGUGUCGUACGCAUGUUCCUCUCUCAUAUAUCACCAGGGCUCGAAUUACCGGGGGGUUGGGUGCGUCGAGCCCCUCACUUAAUAUUCGCAACCCCCCAACUUAUUAUUUUUCAAUUGGGGGGGGGGGGGUCGAGUUUUAACCCCCCCCCUCGAGAAUUUGGGAGAAUUAGUGAGAACGGUAUACUUGCAAGACGGACGACAUACGCCUCACACCCCAAGCCUGGCACCCUUUAACUCCGCCUCUAACUCCACCUCUACAGUGAUGCAAAAAGAAAGGCGUCACAUUUGAGAAGGAGAAACAUAUGCACGGUUGUUGCAAGCACAGUUGCAUUUAAAUUUUGACAGAAGUGGAUACACAAGUUACAUAUAACAGCAGUGAAAGGAGGAGUGUUGCCUGAGGUGAAACGGUGUACCCAAUGCUGCAGAUUGUACCACUGUCCAUUUUGCCAGCCAAGCAAAUAUAAACCCAAUAAAUGCCACCAUUUAAAAAAGCACUUGGAUGUCCAUCUGAAGGGUGCAGUGUGAUGGUUUGUUAUUUAAUGGUUUUUACAUGUAACAUUGUUGAAGGUUGUUUAAUAUAUUUAGUGAACAAUAUGCAUUUCAAGUAAAAUAUCAUUAAUACUUAUUGUUUACAUCUGUUUAUUUAAAUGUUUAUAGAGAAUGCUCAGGAAUACUCACUUGCAAAUACAGUAGGCUCCAUAAUUAUUCAUACCCUUUAUUCAGUGUAAAUGAAAUGGGGGAAUUAAAUUAAAACUUGACCCACCAGCUAAUCGCAAAGUCAGAAUUUAAUGGUGGUUGUAUUUAUUAUUAGAAGAAAGUGCCCACUUAUGAUAAAUCAAACUGCUAUUAAGUACAUAUUUCUAAUUUGGUUUUAGUGGAUGGGUCUAAAUGUUGCUUUAAUCCCCCCAAAGUUGGUUUUAAAAUAUCAACAAAAAGCAAGUGUAUAUUCAUUAUUUCUUGCUAUAUCAUAAAAACAUAUCUGUCAAAAAUAACUGCAUUUUAAUUUAAUAUCCAAACUGCAUUAUAUAUUUGUAAUAAAGUUCUUUGUUUGCGA